ACCACCACUCUGAUUGCAAGAUCAGCCCCUAAGUGAGGAAGGCAAGUAGGACUGGGCCCUGAUGACUCCUCUGUCCCCUGGUCACUGAGCUAUCUUCUGCUUUCCUCCAGCAAAGGGCCAACUCCCUGCACCGCUGGGGCAGGCCCUGGGUAGGGCACUGACACCCUCCUACGGAGGCAGAGCAGAGGGAAGCUCUGAUUCAGUCCCAGAGCCUCUCGCAUCAAGCAGCAACGUAGCCUUGGAGGGGCUGCUUCUGCUACAUCUUUGCCCAGAUACUGCAGGAACCUCUGUCUCAUCCAACACAAAUGUGAAGGGCACAGAUCACGGUGGACAUGUAUCGCCAUCUGGCCUGUUAGCUGCAUGCCUCAGUGUUCCCAUCAGUACAAUGGGCACUGUGCUGUCCAUCUCCAGCACCCAGGGUGCGUGGUGGAAGACCACGGUCCUCUUUGCAGUGUGCCGGUGCCAUGCCCUUGUGAGGGCUAUUGUGGACAACACACUGGCCUUUGCCCAGACCCCCACCCAGAGCUCCUGCAAUGAGCAAAAGGUGGCAGGUAGCUUUCCUAGUGCCCUGUGCUGCUGUCCGUGCAGCACGUGGCGGAGCUGACCCCGGGUCUCCCACCCAGGCAUUCCCCCGUCCAGAGCCCAGCAGUCCCUGGAGCUGGAGCAGGAGGGAGGAAGGUUCCCGGGGCCUGGCUCCUGCACGCAGGCAACAUUGCAGGGACAGGGAGAGGGGAGAGCGCUAGAGCCAGCCGCCUGGCCUGUCCCCGCUUGGGGCACCCCAGCCUGGCAAGAGAGAGCGGGACGGGGAAGGGGCAGCCUCCCUUCAGGCCUGGUGGACAAACCGAACCCUCCUGUCCGGCGCUGGGCUGCGUGCUGCAUUCCUGGCAUUCCCCUCCCUUCCCCCAGCCCGGGAAGCUCUCACAAACCUCGCCAUUUAUGGACAGGAGCCUCAAACAUGGAGCGUGUGAGCUGACAGACCCAGGAGAGAACGACCCCUUCCUCCAUCGAUGUGCUGGGAGCCACGGCGAACCCUCCGGGCAGCCAGAGCAUGCCCAUAUUAUGCAGCCAUGCAUGGAUGGGGGAAUCCACCGGCCCUUUCUGAGAUGGGGAAAGGAGGAGCAAAAACAUUUUCAACGUACAGACUUAGCAAGAAGAGGGAUGCAAGCCUCUGCUGCUCUGGUUUCCUGUUUCCGCUGGUCUGUGCUCAGAGCAGAGCUCAGCAUCAGACUUUAUUGGCUAAGCAGGACGACGACUAGGUUUUGCCAUUUAAGGCUUAUUUCCCAGACUCGAUAGGACACCGGCUUCAGGCUGUGCUAAGAGCUGCAGCUCAGGCACAUCACCGGUGACAGCUCAGUGGAAACCCAGCUGAUGGAGGCCACUUGGUUCAAAGCAAAGAGACCUUCCUUUUCAGUUAAGAGCCCAGAACUUGCUUCUUAGCACAUCGAAGAGGAGGAAUUGCUGACUGCU